AAAAUUGUGCAUCUGUGGGGAUUGUUACUAUGCAUGGUUUCAGGUGAAAGGGAAGAAUGUUCCUGAGUUACCUGACAUUAGAAGUUUGCUCAGCCUUCUUCUACAUCCCUCUCUAAUGGUGCUGAAAGAGUAAAAGGCAUGACAAGGCUCACCAGAAGAACUACUUCUGCUUGGCCUCCAGAGGGCAAUGAUGCACACACGAGAAUUACACUUGAACAUCUCCCUCCCUCCCAACCAUCCUUCUUUUAGCUCCUCCUUCACAGAGCUGACUGAAGAGUCCAGCUGGAGCUCUUCACAGAUGGUGGCAUAUGAGGAAUUUAGAAGUCAGGAAACACCCAGAUUUUCAAGGAAAAGACUCUUCCAGACGUCUCUGGAACGCAAUUACACAAGAUUCUAGGGCACCCACCAUACACAUUCUUCCUUGUUCCACGGAUACUAUUUCCUCAACCAUACUCCUUCUCGCUCAGGAAAGAUCUUCAAAAAGGAGACUACAGUUUCUUCAGUCCUCAGCCAUGAGCUUGGUUCCUGUCCCCAUGCUUGUGUUUAUGAUACUUUUUGCCCCGAGAGGAGCCGGAGCCCAGUCAGUGACCCAGCCUGAUGUCCACAUCACUGUCUCUGAAGGAGCCCCUCUGGAGCUGAGGUGCAACUACUCGUCUUCUCUUCAGGUGUAUCUCUUCUGGUACAUGCAGCACCCCAACCAAGGACUCCGGCUUCUCUUGAAGUACAUAUCAGGGGACAUCCUGGUGAAAGGCACCAAAGGUUUCGAGGCUGAAUUUAGGAAGAGUGAAAAGACCUUCCACCUGAGGAAACCUGCAGUCCAGUGGAGCGACACGGCCAAGUACUUCUGUGCUGUGAGUGACACAGUGCCUGGGACUGCAGGGGGAGCUGAACACCAACUUCUGGUGAAUGUGAGGCUUCCAGUGACUCAAGGGAUCAACCUGGGGCACUUUCAGUGAGACCUUAUGUUCUAUGGUGACAAGAUGGACAGAGGGGACUAAACUGCUUAGUUCUUGUGCAGACAUGGUUCUAAUCUUCCAAGAGUCAGGAUUCAUGAGGAAAGGACAACUUAUGAAACAAACAAACAAACAAACAAACAAACACAAUGUCGCCAACAGACUGGAGACUGGAACUUGCUCAGAGAAUCACUUUGGAUGGGACAGUGGCAGGGAUGGGUUUUGUGCUGCGAUUGCCAUUUGACUUGUGACCAGAGAGGAGAGUACUAUGACAGUCUAUGCCGAUGGUUGUAAUCCACUAGGGACUAAGCUUCCCCCUAACUGAGGAACUUUCCUUAAGAUCCUAGAUAAUUCCAUCUGUGUGUGUGCCUAUUUGAAAAACUGAAUGGAAAGAGGAAGGUUCGUAUUAGAGGAAGCGACUGAGGAAAAUGUGAUAAAAUAAAAUCACCAAGCACAGGGAGAAUUUUUAGUGAAUGCUUCUGUCAUUUACUCAGCUCUUUCAUUUUAACAUCAUCUCAAAAAGAUGGAGUUGAGAUUUCCAUCAAUCCAUCACUGGAUGAGGUUGAGGAAGGUCGGGGCUAUGCUAAUAUGACAGAGAUGAUUACUAGAGUGGAGUGAGAGUAGGAAUCUGUUAGGGUCAAGUCAGCUGGAGGCUCCAGUAGUGAAUAUUUAUAUUUUCCUUUACCUAACUUUUGUAACUAA